GCACUUCCUCCGGUGAGUCUUUGACGGAGAGAACAGGCAUGGGGAUCCGUUCCGUUCUGUUUCCUCUUUGUUCCCGUUGGCUGCCUUCCGCUCUCCUGAGGGCUCUCCGGCUCUAAGUAGUGUGGGAGAGGAUCCAAAGUACUGCCUGGCCGUGUUGUCUUCAUGGGGAGAACCACAGUGAGGACGGCUCCCUGGUGGGCACGUGUCUCAGAGGAGGCUGGUUCAUUCAGGUUAUUAUUGUAAAAAAAUCCAACGAGGAGGACGAAGGCUGCUUGGGAAACCGAGGGGUUUCGCUGACCUCCUGACAAAAUGACGGAAUAAAUCGCCUGUUGUUAGAGAGCUGUCUGUCUACCCAACCAGCUGAGCAGGCAUAACACAGGCAGCAGGAAAGAGGAGGAUGGAGCUCUUUUAGAUGAAGACGCUUUCCUACCAACAUUCCCCCCUUGAUUCCAUGCUGCUGGAGCAUCCAUGGCAGCACAACACCGGCCUGCUUGAGUUCGGCUGAUGACGAACUAUCCGGAGCAUCCCCCUCCGUGCAUCGUUAGUGUGGCCCCGUAGUGUUCACAGCGUUAGGUGGAGCCGCGCAGCGGAGGAACGUGGUCACGA
ensembl:lncRNA